GACGAACGCUGGCGGCGUGCUUAACACAUGCAAGUCGAACGGUGAAGGGGCCUGCUUUUGUGGGCCCUGGAUGAGUGGCGAACGGGUGAGUAACACGUGAGUAACCUGCCCCCUUCUUCUGGAUAACCGCAUGAAAGUGUGGCUAAUACGGGAUAUUCUGGGUCUGUCGCAUGAUGGGUCUGGGAAAGAUAUUGUUUCGGUGGGGGAUGGGCUCGCGGCCUAUCAGCUUGUUGGUGGGGUGAUGGCCUACCAAGGCGGUGACGGGUAGCCGGCCUGAGAGGGUGGACGGUCACACUGGGACUGAGACACGGCCCAGACUCCUACGGGAGGCAGCAGUGGGGAAUAUUGCACAAUGGGCGCAAGCCUGAUGCAGCGACGCCGCGUGAGGGAUGGAGGCCUUCGGGUUGUGAACCUCUUUCGCCAGUGAAGCAGGCCUGCCCCUGGUGGG
rnacentral:rRNA from 1 species